rnacentral:rRNA from 1 species
AUGCAAGUCGAGCGGUAAGGCCCUUCGGGGUACACGAGCGGCGAACGGGUGAGUAACACGUGAGCAACCUGCCCCUGACUCCGGGAUAAGCGGUGGAAACGCCGUCUAAUACCGGAUAUGACACACCAUCUCCUGGUGGUGUGUGGAAAGUUUUGUCGGUCAGGGAUGGGCUCGCGGCCUAUCAGCUAGUUGGUGGGGUAAAGGCCUACCAAGGCGAUUACGGGUAGCCGGCCUGAGAGGGCGACCGGCCACACUGGGACUGAGACACGGCCCAGACUCCUGCGGGAGGCAGCAGUGGGGAAUAUUGCACAAUGGGCGAAAGCCUGAUGCAGCGACGCCGCGUGGGGGAUGACGGCCUUCGGGUUGUAAACCUCUUUUACCACCAACGCAGGCCCCGGGUUCUCUCGGGGUUGACGGUAGGUGGGGAAUAAGGACCGGCUAACUACG